rnacentral:rRNA from 1 species
GUGCGUAGGCGGGCUUGGUAAGCCGGUUGUGAAAGCCCCGGGCUCAACCUGGGAAUGCAUCCGGAACUGUCAGGCUAGAGUGCAGGAGAGGAAAGGUAGAAUUCCCCGGUGUAGCGGUGAAAUGCGUAGAGAUCGGGAGGAAUACCAGUGGCGAAGGCGGCUUUCUGGACUGACACUGACGCUGAGGUACGAAAGCGUGGGUAGCAAACAGGAUUAGAUACCCUGGUAGUCCACGCCGUAAACGAUGUCGACUAGCCGUUGGGGUCCUUGAGACCUUUGUGGCGCAGUUAACGCACUAAGUCGACCGCCUGGGGAGUACGGCCGCAAGGUUAAAACUCAAAUGAAUUGACGGGGGCCCGCACAAGCGGUGGAGCAUGUGGUUUAAUUCGAUGCAACGCGAAGAACCUUACCUACCCUUGACAUCGUGCGAACUUGGUAGAGAUACCUUGGUGCCUUCGGGAGCGCACAGACAGGUGCUGCAUGGCUGUCGUCAGCUCGUGUUGUGAAAUGUUGGGUUAAGUCCCGUAACGAGCGCAACCCUUAUCCUUAUUUGCCAGCGAUCCGGUCGGGAACUCUAAGGAGACUGCCGGUGACAAACCGGAGGAAGGUGGGGACGACGUCAAGUCAUCAUGGCCCUUACGGGUAGGGCUACACACGUGCUACAAUGGCCGAUACAAUGGGUCGCAAAGCGGCGACGUGGCGCUAAUCCCAUAAAGUCGGUCUCAGUCCGGAUCGGAGUCUGCAACUCGACUCCGUGAAGUCGGAAUCGCUAGUAAUCGUGCAUCAGAAUGGCACGGUGAAUACGUUCCCGGGCCUUGUACACACCGCCCGUCACACCAUGGGAGUG